rnacentral:rRNA from 1 species
GAUGAACGCUGGCGGCGUGCCUAAUACAUGCAAGUAGAACGCUGAAGGAGGAGCUUGCUCUUCUGGAUGAGUUGCGAACGGGUGAGUAACGCGUAGGUAACCUGCCUGGUAGCGGGGGAUAACUAAUGGAAACGAUAGCUAAUACCGCAUGACAACAGUUAUUGCAUGAUAACUGUUUAAAAGGGGCAACUGCUCCACUACCAGAUGGACCUGCGUUGUAUUAGCUAGUUGGUGAGGUAACGGCUCACCAAGGCGACGAUACAUAGCCGACCUGAGAGGGUGAUCGGCCACACUGGGACUGAGACACGGCCCAGACUCCUACGGGAGGCAGCAGUAGGGAAUCUUCGGCAAUGGACGGAAGUCUGACCGAGCAACGCCGCGUGAGUGAAGAAGGUUUUCGGAUCGUAAAGCUCGGUUGUAAGAGAAGAACGAGUGUGAGAGUGGAAAGUUCACACUGUGACGGUAUCUUACCAGAAAGGGACGGCUAACUACGUG